UCCGGCUCAGGGAAGCGCUGGCGGCGNGUCUAAUACAUGCAAGAUCGAGCGAAUCAUCAGGAGCUUGCUCCUGAUGAUUAGCGGUGGACCGGUGAGUAACACGUGGGCAACCUGCCUGUAAGACUGGGAUAACACCGGGAAACCGGUGCUAAUACCGGAUAACUCUUUACCUCUCAUGAGGUGAAGCUGAAAGUCGGUUUCGGCUGACACUUACAGAUGGGCCCGCGGCGCAUUAGCUAGUUGGUGAGGUAACGGCUCACCAAGGCGACGAUGCGUAGCCGACCUGAGAGGGUGAUCGGCCACACUGGGACUGAGACACGGCCCAGACUCCUACGGGAGGCAGCAGUGGG
rnacentral:rRNA from 1 species